rnacentral:rRNA from 1 species
GCCUGCCCCGUGACUUAAACGUUCAACGGCCGCGGUAUUCUAACCGUGCAAAGGUAGCGCAAUCAAUUGUCUUUUAAAUGAAGACCUGUAUGAAUGGCAUAACGAGGGUUUAACUGUCUCUUUUACCUAGUCAAUGAAACUGAUCUAUCCGUGCAGAAGCGGAUAUAAAAAUACAAGACGAGAAGACCCUGUGGAGCUUAAGACAUUAACCAACCACACAACAACGGUUCAACCCAAAUGAGCCGAACAAACCUGGUCCUGGCACAAACGUCUUUGGUUGGGGCGACCACGGUGAGAAAACAAAGCUCCCGGGCGGAUUGGAGUUUCCUCUAAAACUCAGAGCCACACCUCUAAGUCUCAAAACAUUUGACCAAUAAUGAUCCGACUAUAAUCGAUCAACGAACAAAGUUACCCCAGGGAUAACAGCGCAAUCCCCUCACAGAGCCCAUAUCGACGAGGGGGUUUACGACCUCGAUGUUGGAUCAGGACAUCCCAAUGGUGCAGCCGCUAUUAAAGGUUCGUUUGUUCAACGAUUAAAGUCCUACGUGAUCUGAU